rnacentral:SRP_RNA from 1 species
GCCAGGCCUGGUGGUGCACACCUGUAGUCCCAGCUACUUGGGAGGCUGAGGUGGGAGGAUCUCUUGAGCUCAGGAGUCUGAGGAUGCAGUGAGCUAUGAUUGUGCCACUGUACUCUGGCCUGGGUGACAGAGUGAGACCCCAUCUCUA